ACUAAAUGUCAUCUUACUAUACAGCAUUAGUUCGAAAAUCAAGAAUUGCUAAUACUGUCAGGUAAAGAUGGCCUACGGA
rnacentral:pre_miRNA from 1 species